UACAGAGGGUGCAAGCGUUGUUCGGAAUUACUGGGCGUAAAGCGUGCGUAGUCGGUAUUGAGAGUCGCGGGUGAAAUCCCAGGGCUUAACCCUGGAACUCGCCUGCGAGACCUCAGUACUAGAGUGUGAGAGGGGAUGAGUGGAAUACCAAGUGAUAGCGGUGAAAUGCGUAGAGAUUUGGUGGAACACCGGUGGCGAAGGCGGCUAUCUGGCUCACAACUGACGAUCAGGCACGAAAGCGUGGGGAGCAAACAGG
rnacentral:rRNA from 1 species